AUGAACGCUGACAGAAUGCUUAACACAUGCAAGUCAACUUGAAUUUGGGUUUUUAACUUAGGUUUGGGUGGCGGACGGGUGAGUAACGCGUAAAGAACUUGCCUCACAGCUAGGGACAACAUUUGGAAACGAAUGCUAAUACCUAAUAUUAUGAUAAUAGGGCAUCCUAUAAUUAUGAAAGCUAUAAGCGCUGUGAGAGAGCUUUGCGUCCCAUUAGCUAGUUGGAGAGGUAACGGCUCACCAAGGCGAUGAUGGGUAGCCGGCCUGAGAGGGUGAUCGGCCACAAGGGGACUGAGACACGGCCCUUACUCCUACGGGAGGCAGCAGUGGGGAAUAUUGGACAAUGGACCAAGAGUCUGAUCCAGCAAUUCUGUGUGAACGAUGAAGUUUUUCGGAAUGUAAAGUGCUUUCAGUUGGGAAGAAAGAAAUGACGGUACCAACAGAAGAAGUGACGGCUAAAUACGUG
rnacentral:rRNA from 1 species